GUCGGGCGCCCGGCGCAGCGCGUCUCCGGACACCAGAUGCCUUCUCUUUGCCAAACCCACAAGAAGCCAGAGUGCAGGAGCCCAGCAAUGGCAAGCUGGGCGGGGCAAGAAGAUCUGGAUCCCAGAUAACUCUCUCCGUGGCCAUGUGACCACACAUGGACAUCGAUAUGAAGACAGCUAGAA